rnacentral:rRNA from 1 species
AGCGAACGCUGGCGGCAGGCCUAACACAUACAAGUCGAACGAACCUUUCGGGGUUAGUGGCGGACGGGUGAGUAACACGUGGGAACGUGCCUUUAGGUUCGGAAUAACUCAGGGAAACUUGUGCUAAUACCGAAUGUGCCCUUCGGGGGAAAGAUUAAUCGCCUUUAGAGCGGCCCGCGUCUGAUUAGCUAGUUGGUUGAGGUAAUGGCUCACCAAGGCGACGAUCAGUAGCUGGUCUGAGAGGAUGAUCAGCCACAUUGGGACUGAGACACGGCCCAAACUCCUACGGGAGGCAGCAGUGGGGAAUCUUGCGCAAUGGGCGAAAGCCUGACGCAGCCAUGCCGCGUGAAUGAUGAAGGUCUUAGGAUUGUAAAAUUCUUUCACCGGGGACGAUAAUGACGGUACCCGGAGAAGAAGCCCCGGCUAACUUCGUG